rnacentral:rRNA from 1 species
UGGGGAAUUUUGGACAAUGGGGGAAACCCUGAUCCAGCCAUCCCGCGUGUGCGAUGAAGGCCUUCGGGUUGUAAAGCACUUUUGGCAGGAAAGAAACGUCAUGGGUUAAUACCCCGUGAAACUGACGGUACCUGCAGAAUAAGCACCGGCUAACUACGUGCCAGCAGCCGCGGUAAUACGUAGGGUGCAAGCGUUAAUCGGAAUUACUGGGCGUAAAGCGUGCGCAGGCGGUUCGGAAAGAAAGAUGUGAAAUCCCAGAGCUCAACUUUGGAACUGCAUUUUUAACUACCGGGCUAGGGUGUGGCAGAGGGAGGUGGAAUUCCGCGUGUAGCAGUGAAAUGCGUAGAUAUGCGGAGGAACACCGAUGGCGAAGGCAGCCUCCUGGGAUAACACUGACGCUCAUGCACGAAAGCGUGGGGAGCAAACAGG